rnacentral:rRNA from 1 species
CCUACGGGAGGCAGCAGUGGGGAAUAUUGCACAAUGGGGGAAACCCUGAUGCAGCGACGCCGCGUGAAGGAAGAAGUAUUUCGGUAUGUAAACUUCUAUCAGCAGGGAAGAAAAUGACGGUACUUGACUAAGAAGCCCCGGCUAACUACGUGCCAGCAGCCGCGGUAAUACGUAGGGGGCAAGCGUUAUCCGGAUUUACUGGGUGUAAAGGGGGCGUAGGCGGGGCAGCAAGUCAGAAGUGAAAGCCCGGGGCUCAACUCCGGGACUGCUUUUGAAACUGUUGAACUAGAUUGCAGGAGAGGUAAGUGGAAUUCCGGGUGUAGCGGUGAAAUGCGUAGAUAUUAGGAGGAACACCAGUGGCGAAGGCGGCUUACUGGACUGUAAAUGACGCUGAGGCUCGAAAGCGUGGGGAGCAAACAGGAUUAGAUACCCUGGUAGUC